UACGUAGGGCGCAAGCGUUGUCCGGAAUUAUUGGGCGUAAAGAGCUCGUAGGUGGCUUGUUGCGUCUGCCGUGAAAGCCCGUGGCUUAACUGCGGGUCUGCGGUGGAUACGGGCAGGCUAGAGGCUGGUAGGGGCAAGCGGAAUUCCUGGUGUAGCGGUGAAAUGCGCAGAUAUCAGGAGGAACACCGGUGGCGAAGGCGACCACCUGGACGAUGACUGACGCUGAGGCGCGAGAGUGUGGGGGAUCAAACAGG
rnacentral:rRNA from 1 species